UCCGAUAUGGUCUAGUGGCUAGGAUUUCUCGCUCUCAAAGCGUUCGCAUGAACAACUAGGUCCGAGGAGGCCGGGGUUCAAUUCCCCGUGUCGGAA
rnacentral:tRNA from 1 species